GAUCCUGGCUCAGGAUGAACGCUAGCGGCAGGCUUAACACAUGCAAGUCGAGGGGCAGCACGAGGUAGCAAUACUUUGGUGGCGACCGGCGCACGGGUGCGUAACGCGUAUGCAACCUACCUUUAACAGGGGCAUAACACUGAGAAAUUGGUACUAAUUCCCCAUAACAUUCGAGAAGGCAUCUUCUUGGGUUAAAAACUCCGUGUAAGANGGCAUGCGUUGUUAUUAAGUCUAGUUGGUUGGAGGGUAAACGGG
rnacentral:rRNA from 1 species